UACGAAGGGGGCUAGCGUUGCUCGGAAUCACUGGGCGUAAAGCGCACGUAGGCGGCUUUUUAAGUCAGGGGUGAAAUCCUGGAGCUCAACUCCAGAACUGCCUUUGAUACUGAGAAGCUUGAGUUCGGGAGAGGUGAGUGGAAUUCCGAGUGUAGAGGUGAAAUUCGUAGAUAUUCGGAAGAACACCAGUGGCGAAGGCGACUCACUGGACAUGUAUUGACGCUGAGGUACGAAAGCGUGGGGAGCAAACAGG
rnacentral:rRNA from 1 species